GGCAGAUUUUAAUCUCUGGGGAAGCAAGAAUUUGCCUUGGAACAUACAUCACAGUUGGCCAACUGGAAGGACAAAGCUUUGUCAACAGAAGAACAGACCUCCGGAUUCAGAGGACAGGUAAAAGACCUGGCCGGGUUGUCAGAAGGCCUCGAUAUCAGCUUGGAAUUCCCCUAGUCCCUGCCACCUUGAUGUCAAGAGGAGCUACACAUGUGGGUCAGUUCUAUAAAGGGCCACACAAGUUCAUCUGAGAUGAUUACCCUGGAAAUUCCCCCCGGAGGAGCAAGUAAAUGCAUGGAGAGGUCAAGUCAACAGUUCUGAUCCACAGGAAAAAAAAACAAAACUUUGUGAGUCUUCUGUGUGGGAUGAAGCCACGUGGAUGGAUGAGCUCACAUAGAGAGAGAGUACAGUGUAAAGU